rnacentral:rRNA from 1 species
AACGCUGGCGGCGCGCUUAACACAUGCAAGUCGAGCGAGAACCAGGGCUUCGGCCCUGGGGACAGCGGCGAACGGGUGAGUAACACGUGGGUAAUCUGCCCUCGAUUCUGGGAUAGCCCGGGGAAACCCGGAUUAAUACCGGAUAGCUUCUCGAGCUCUCGGGCUCGCGAGAAAAGGUAGCUUCGGCCUCCGAUCGAGGAUGAGCCGGCGGCGGAUUAGCUUGUUGGCGGGGUAAUGGCCCACCAAGGCGACGAUCCGUAGCUGGUCUGAGAGGAGGAUCGGCCACACGGGGACGGAGACACGGCCCAGCAUCCUACGGGAGGCAGCAAUGGGGAAUCUUGCGCAAUGGGCGAAAGCCUGACGCAGCGACGGCGGGUGGGGGAAGAAGGCCUUCGGGUUGUAAACCUCUUUCAGGAGGGACGAAGCCACUCGGGUUAAUAGCCCAGAGGGUGACGGUACCUCCAGAAGAAGCCCCGGCUAACUACGUGCCAGCCGCCGCCGUAAGAC